rnacentral:rRNA from 1 species
AAUAGAUACCCGGGUAGUCCACGCCGUAAACGAUGGAUACUAGCUGUUCGGGAUUACCUGAGUGGCUAAGCGAAAGUGAUAAGUAUCCCACCUGGGGAGUACGGGCGCAAGCCUGAAACUCAAAGGAAUUGACGGGGGCCCGCACAAGCGGUGGAGCAUGUGGUUUAAUUCGAUGAUACGCGAGGAACCUUACCAGGGCUUAAAUGUAGGUUGCAUGAUCCAGAGAUGGGUCUUUCUUCGGACCACCUACAAGGUGCUGCAUGGUUGUCGUCAGCUCGUGCCGUGAGGUGUCAGGUUAAGUCCUAUAACGAGCGCAACCCCGUAUUGUUAGUUGCCAGCGAGUCAUGUCGGGAACUCUAGCAAGACUGCCGGUGCAAACUGUGAGGAAGGUGGGGAUGACGUCAAAUCAUCACGGGCCCUUACGUCCUGGGCUACACACGUGCUACAAUGGUGGGGUACAGAGAGCAGCCACUGGGGCGACCAGGAGCGGAAUCUAUAAAACCCCCGAUCACAGUUCGGAUCGGAGUCUG